rnacentral:rRNA from 1 species
GACGAACGCUGGCGGCGUGCUUAACACAUGCAAGUCGAACGGAAAGGCCCUGCUUUUGUGGGGUGCUCGAGUGGCGAACGGGUGAGUAACACGUGAGUAACCUGCCCUUGACUUUGGGAUAACUUCAGGAAACUGGGGCUAAUACCGGAUAGGAGCUCCUGCUGCAUGGUGGGGGUUGGAAAGUUUCGGCGGUUGGGGCUGGACUCGCGGCUUAUCAGCUUGUUGGUGGGGUAGUGGCUUACCAAGGCUUUGACGGGUAGCCGGCCUGGGAGGGUGACCGGCCACAUUGGUACUGAGAUACGGACCAGACUCCUACGGGAGGCAGCAGUGGGGAAUAUUGCACAAUGGGCGGAAGCCUGAUGCAGCAACGCCGCGUGCGGGAUGACGGCCUUCGGGUUGUAAACCGCUUUCGCCUGUGACGAAGCGUGAGUGACGGUAAUGGGUAAAGAAGCACCGGCUAACUACGUG